GAUUUCUGACUCGUCUCGUCUGGCCCGCCACGGUUACGUGUGUGAGUGCCGGCACGAAGCAGUCAUCACUUCUAGCUGCUCUACAUACUCUUCAUUGAGCCGUGUAGACGCGACUAGAUCUUUUACUUUGAAAAAAUUAGAGUGUUUCAAGCAGGCUUUAUGCUAUGAAUACAUUAGCAUGGAAUAAUAAUUUAGGACUUCGGUUCUAUUUUGUUGGUUUCUAGGACUGAAGUAAUGAUUGAUAGGGAUAGUUGGGGGUGCUAGUAUUCAGCGGCCAGAGGUGAAAUUCUCGGAUUCGCUGAAGACUAACUUAUGCGAAAGCAUU
rnacentral:rRNA from 1 species